UACCCUUGACAUACAGCGAAUCCCUCAGAGAUGAGGGAGUGCCUUCGGGAGCGCUGAUAC
rnacentral:rRNA from 1 species